rnacentral:ncRNA from 2 species
ACGGGAACGCCCUGCAAGUGGGCGGCGGCCCUCGCCACUGUGAUCGGGGUGACCCCGGUCCGGCACAUGCCACCGGGCUCCGCGCGGCCGAUGGCAAAGGACCGGCGGGGCGCGGGAAGGCGCCGGAACGGAUGUUUCGCGGCACGUUCCGCGGGGCAGCCCCGUCAGCCAGGAGACCG